rnacentral:sRNA from 1 species
GAUUCUUCUCUUGCUU